rnacentral:rRNA from 1 species
GAUGAACGCUGGCGGCGUGCCUAAUACAUGCAAGUCGAGCGAACGGACGAGAAGCUUGCUUCUCUGAUGUUAGCGGCGGACGGGUGAGUAACACGUGGAUAACCUACCUAUAAAACUGGGAUAACUUCGGGAAACCGGAGCUAAUACCGGAUGAUAUUUUGAACCGCAUGGUUCAAAAGUGAAAGACGGUCUUGCUGUCACUUAUAGAUGGAUCCGCGCUGCAUUAGCUAGUUGGUAAUGUAACGGCUUACCAAGGCAACGAUGCAUAGCCGACCUGAGAGGGUGAUCGGCCACACUGGAACUGAGACACGGUCCAGACUCCUACGGGAGGCAGCAGUAGGGAAUCUUCCGCAAUGGGCGAAAGCCUGACGGAGCAACGCCGCGUGAGUGAUGAAGGUCUUCGGAUCGUAAAACUCUGUUAUUAGGGAAGAACAUAUGUGUAAGUAACUGUGCACAUCUUGACGGUACCUAAUCAGAAAGCCACGGCUAACUACGUG